GGGCCUGUAGCUCAGUUGGUUAGAGCAGUGGACUCAUAAUCCAUUGGUCGCAGGUUCGAGUCCUGCCGGGCCCA
rnacentral:tRNA from 2 species